AAGGGGCUGUGAGGUGAAAAGAAGGAAGUGAUGGGGAGUGCGAUGACGGGAAGCGAGCGGCGAAGAGUAGACCACCAUGAGGGAGACGGCGGAGGAGACGCGGCCACUGAACCCUGUGCCUUCGCCUAGGCCAACAACACCCUCCCCUAUUACUGCCCUCGCAUCAACGAAGCAAAGGUCUCCAUCAGUCCUAUACAUUAGGGUUUCCGACCUCUUCCUUGUGUCAUCUUCUCUUGCCUCCGUGGCGACCAUGUGUGAGAUUUGAUUGUGCCAUCGUUGUGGUCACCGAUAGAUGCUUUGCGAUCAAUGGGGUGUUCAGAGCUUGCCUCUCUGAUUGACAAUGGGUUUUGGAUAGUUUUCUGAGCAGUAGAGAAAUAUCGUCUCCGAAUGAGUUUUCCAUAGAUGAGUCUUCAUGGGUUCUCUUGCAGAGAAGGAUUCGAUGAAAUCACAGAACGUUUCAAACAGAAGUUACAGCAUUUAUAGCUCGCACUCGAAAGCGAGCUGUCGGAGCUCUUAUUUUCAUCCGGCUCUUGUAUGGUCCGGUUUGGCCAGCCCUUUAUAUGGUGAAGCAAGGUGUGUUUUCAUCGUAGGGGAAGAGUAACUCAUGUAAGCUCUCGAGAUUUAUAACUAAAUUGAAGCUCAAUUUGUUGUUAAUUGUGCAAGUAAAAUUGGUCAUCUGACGUGACAAACUUAAAAAGUAAUUAUGUAGCAACUCUGUUGAUAAUGUCGUUUGACUUUUUUAGACUUCGGUGGCCUUAAUAAUGUGGGCGGCUCUGAUGUGAUGUUCUAAUGACUUGUUAUCAAAUGCUAGUCUAUUGCAGUGACAAGAUGACUUGUGUCUUACGCAGUUUGUUUUGCUGUCAGUUUCCCAACGAUUUGACAUGCCCCCAAAUUUCUCGUCAAAGUUCUUCCUUUGAUUUCGUCAGCCGUUGAACCUAAAAGAAAUGUCUUUUUCUAAGCAGGUCGUCAAUUGUUAUACAUUUGUUGGCAGGUAGUAGUGCUGCAGUGUCUACCUGUUCCAUCUGCUUCUGAUUUGACGGUCGAACUGCGAAGACUAAU